CUCCACCAUCCAACUCCUGCUUAUGUGGACUGCGUAUCACAGCUCACUUUUCAGAGAGGACAAGUACUACAUGGAAGAAUGUGGGGAAACAAUAACGGAGCAGCCACAGGCUACCGUGCCAAACUUUAAGCAUUCUAGUAACAGUCAUUAAAAGUCAGUAGCUCAGUUCAAAAACAAAAGAGAAGAGUGAAAACACGUCUCCAAAAAAUUCACUAACAAAAAGGUCAGACCAUACACCAAGCUGGGCUUAUUUAAAUUCCAAUUUGAUGUCAUGUUUAGGUAAAAAAACUGCAUGAAAGGUACUCCCCAGACAAGACUGAAAAGAAUCUGAGAGGGAAAAAAAGCAUCAAAUAGAAGGGACAUUUCUAGAGAAAGAAGAGAGAAGCAAGCCAGCUUCACCCUCUAUAUCAUAACUUCUUUAGAGAGUGAGAUGUUUCUAUGAUCAAGCUGCAGUAGCUUACUGCUCCUUAUAAAAUCUGACAGGAUUCCAACACAGAUCUACAACGUCUUCAUAAUGAAAAGGCACUGGAAAGCCAAAGCUUUAGAUAUUCAUCUAAGUCUGGAGGCUCAGAAGGAGCCUCCACCUCAGUACAGGAGCAGCUGUAUGGAACAUCCAAUAUUUAAAAAGCAGAAGCUGGCAAAAUUCAUAACUGAUUUCUUUCAGAGUAGCAGUAUUUAAGUGUCAAAACCCAGCAACCAAUUAUAUCAUAUAUCUGACAAAUCAAACUGCAGGUCUCUCUGCUCUACUUAGCUUCAAGAUUCUCUGGCCCUUUCCAGGCACAGAAAGGAAAGCUCACCUUCAUUUCCAAGCUAACUUGAUGGCUAUUUCUCACAGAAACAUAUACUUAACUACUCCAGUAGGAUUUUUAUUCAUUACAACUGGCAACAGGCACAUGAUGUCAUUACACCAGACUAAGCUUUGCAAGUGGUUCAUUUUGUACUAACAGUAGUAUUGUUUGCAUGCAUGGCAGGAGGAGGAGAGUUCAGAGAGAGGAUACAUCUCACCAUACCUCACCAAGGUAGAUAACUAUCUGGAAGAAAGUAUCCAUCAGUAGGAUUCUGUCAGGAAGAAUGCUGCUGCUGUCCAAAAGCACUGGCUAUGGAAAACAAAGGUCAAUCGUCAUUAAAACCUCAAAAUCAUAUUAACAUUACAGUUCAGGGGAACAACUUGCUCAGCCUCGCAUGUACAGAGGAGUGUUGUGUCUGCCAACGGCUGCUGUUCAUGUGAAUGUUUCCGAGUACCAUAACCCUUCUGUGGCAUCACUGAACCGAGCAGCAGGUCCUCAGCUACUGUAUGAAACAGUUUCAUGAAACAGCAUGUGAGAAAGCAAUUUCUAUGGCUAUCAAGUUUAAUGAUCUUGAAGAAGCCAAGAAAAAUAAGAGAUUUAAUGCAUACACUCAGGCAAAUGCUGCCAGAAAGGUUUUAAAGUGUUUCUGCAGCAGCUUCUGCAUUCCUUUCCUGCCAGACACACUGCAGUCAACAUAAACUAAUGAAGUUUGUAGAGCAGUCGAAUGUUGCUGUUUAGACAACUGAAAACAAGCAGCUGGACUCGAUCUCUAGAGGCCCCUUCCAACCCCUACAGUUCUGUGCUAAUGACCUGGAAGGGCAGAGGCUUGCUGACACACAUGGUGGAGAUGGCAGCUCCUGGCUGAGAAGCAGAAGCACUACUGAGCUGCCAAGACUCCAGAUGUGGCAUUAAUUUUUCGGGGCUUCCUUUUUAGGCACGUAUGUGUAUUUUAAAAGCCCACUGAAAGUAUAAUUUGCAUACUAAGAGUAAGCCUACUGAAAAUAUAACUGUUAUUGUACAUUGCCCCAUCUCAUCCUUCUGUAAUUACUUUAACUAAGAAAAAAAAUAGAUAAGGACCUUUUUGAUAAACUAAUUUUAUCCCAACUGAAUGCUCUUUACUUUGGAUUGAUUCACCACUCUCUGUUAAACACAGACUUACCUCAGGAGGUCCAUGGAAGGAAUAAGCAUAAAGGAUGGGCUGAAUCAUAAUGAGAGACUGGGUGAGAUCUUGCCUAGCAAAGUGGUGACGGUAAUAAGAAGAUUCAUCUGGACUGUUAUUGAAGACCUGCAGGAAUGGGGAGCGUCGCAAAUGGAACAUGAACUGCACCAGAAAGAUGAGUGAGAAGUCAUCUGAUGUGCUGUAACUGUGAGCGUGAAAUUCACGAAUGUUCAGAUGAAGACAGAACUGAUGGGGAUUUUGGCAAUUCAGGCCUGUGAAAUCUGAAGAAAGAGACAGUAUGAAGGCACGGAACAAAGCCAAUAGCUGGAAAGUGAUAACUCCUCUGAACUUUGUCCUGAUGAGAUCCUAUCUGAAUGCUGUAUCCAGUUUGAGGCUUCCUAGCUCAAGACAGACAUGGAUAUACUGAAGCAAGGCCAGCAGAUGCCAGCAAACUGGCAAAGGAACAGGGCCCUAAAAAGCUGAGUUUGUUCAGUCUGGAAUCCAGUGUUACAUUGUGCAUAGCUACCUAACAUGUAACUGAAGAAAUUGGAAUUCUGAUUGGAUAUAAGAAAUAAUAAUAGUAAAUCACACUAACUGCGAUCAAAUGUUGGAACAGGCUACCAAGAAGCAAGAGAAAUUCCAUCCCUGGAGAUCAUAAAAACUCACCCAAACAAGACCCACAGCAUCUAACUGCAACAUGAAGCUAGCUCUGCUUAAGCAGAGUGUUGAGACCUGUUGAGACCCUUCCCACCUACAUUAUCAUUUCACUAUUACUGCUUUAAUCUCAAGGUUUAACUCCUUCAUCACGAUGGGAUGCUUAGCUAUCCCAUCACCAACUUACUGGUCAUACUGCCUUCACAGUUAUCACAUGCUAUGAGACCACAAUCAGAGCACAAAUGAAGCAAAUCAGUCUGGAAAAAGAAUGGUGCUUUCAUUCCAAGAGAUCAUUUUAACUGAAAUUAAGACUGUUGCUGAGUGCACUCCAUCAGUCUUACCAGUCUGAUCAGCUGUCUGUCCAGCCAUCGCAGUACAUCAGGUCCCUCCUCAGACUCAGCUCUGUACACUCCCAGCCGUGCCAUCAGCACAGCAGCUGCUUCCUGGUCAAAUGCAGCUUCUAUGUGCUGGAGCUGACUUUGUGCAUCUGCCCAGCUAAAGGAUUAGUAAAGGGUUAGAGCAAAAUCUGUCAUCAGCAAAACCCAAUCCACAUUUUUUCCCCCAUGCCAAAUACUCCGUGGCCAAUGAAUAUAAUAACAGGCUAAAACAAUACCAGCACAGACAGUGGUUUACAUUUCUGCAAUUCUGCCAAAGAGCCAGCAUGAGGUACUUACUUUCUGGCUAUGGUGGUGACACGAAUGCGUUUCUGCGUGCUGGAGUGUUGAUACUGAGUGACAAACUGUACUGCCCCUCGGCCUCCCUGAGGUAUUGGUGCAUUGUGCUGCAAAUUAAACAAGGAAAGCCUUCAACAUAGGCUGGCUUUGCAUACUACCCAGGCAGGGCAUCUGCUGAAUAGAGUUAAGUUCAAGCUAGAGAUGGACCACAGAAGAGACACACAUCUGUUAAUGUUGUGUUUUAUAAGAGCCCUCAAAGCCAAGUGGUUCUGGAUACAUUUUUAAUCCCAUACCUGACACUUAUCAGCUUGUCCUUUAAAGGACGGCAGCAACUUAUUUACCAUCCCUAUAACACUAAACAUUAGUGUGGCAGUCUGACUAAAGGUCCCUUGGGCCCUAUUCCCAACAACAGGGAACCCACACAGCAGAGUGGGCGUGAAAUAGAACUCCUUUGGUCUAGUACUCCUAGCUACCACGUGCUCAGAAGCUUCCCCAGCCUGAAGUUGCUUCUGAGCUAUCUCAUAUAACAAAUGGGAGGAUAAAUUCUCCAAGAAGUGAGACAUUGGUGCUUUUAUUCUCCAUGGCACCUAAUAGCAAAAAGACAUUUUCUUCUUUGUGAAAUGAAUGCCAUCAGAAGACAAGAAGAAAGAAUGCAGUUUUUGUAUCUAGUAAAAAUAUUACACAAUUUACAAAUAUGGACACAACCCCUAUGAAUAUUACUUUGGCACAAAACACUCAUCUACUUUGCAAGCAUCCAUCAGCUACACAAGAGAUGCCAUUGGACUUCCCGGUCCUGUUACAAACAGUUGGUAUACAAAAAGGAAGACAAAAAAAGAAAAGCCAGGGCUGACCUGAUUUACCACUUCAAAGUAAAUGGCCAGAGUUGUGCAGGGAUCCAAACCGCAAAUUUUCCACUGAGAUGUUCCUCCGAUUCCGAGUUCCUGCACAGAAUUGAAAAGAAAACAGCCUAUUGUAUUUGGCAGCAGUUAAGGCCAGCUCACAUUUAAUUCUGAUCAGAGACAGGAGGCAAUCCUUCCGCAUUUCUUAUCUUCGGAAUGUGGAUUAAGUUACAGAGGGUAAUACAGUUGGAAAGCAGCUUUAUGGGACAAGAAUUUAAUCUAUCAAGCACUGCCCUUUCCCACAUUCUAUCUAAGCUGUAGGUUUUGACAGAAAUGUUGCACCCUUUGUCUCCUAUUUAAUAUAGUUGGCUUUUUUUCAGGUUAGAAACGUACGUUUUCAGAAACACACGGUCCUUUCACGUUCAGGGAUACACACGGUCCAAUAGCUCCUGCAAUUUUCAGCUCCCUGGAUGUCUACAACAAGACAAAACAAGUUCUUAAAAAAAAAAAUCAAGUUAGUCAAAUAGAACACAGAUAGAUUAAAUCAGGUGCUCAGCUUUGAUCAGAAGGUGAACAUUCAAGAGGGCCAAGGAAAGCAUCCUUGAGUACUCUCCCAGGUCACCUACUGCCACAGUUGGUGAAUAUAAGCUCAGUUGUUUUUUUUUUAAACCACAAAUAUAAUAAACUUUCAUACAAAAAAUGCCUUCACUCAUUCCAGUAUGGUGCUUUUUCCAAAGAAGGCACUACAGCUGACCUCAAAGACGUAGAAUUUUCUACACACAGAUACCUCCUCAACUUUUCUAAUCAGCAGCACUUGCAUUUCUAAGUUAAUGUCAGCUAACUAAACUCAUCUCUCACCUUCACUUCCAAAUUUGCACCAAAAGCCAUCCGAAAUUCCCCAUUGAGCCCUUUGUUGAACACCCGCUGGAAGGUCUGCUUGAAGAGAGAAGUGUUGAAGGAAUCUCCCAUCACCAUGUGUCCUCUGAGAAGGAAAAAGAAAAACACACAAGGGAAUUGAAACAAUUGAGAACUACUGAGAAGUAUAUGCACCAAGGAUACAACCCCUCCAACUCUCAUGCAUGCAAAUACAGGCAGAAACUGUUUUAAAGCAUGCCUUUGCAUAGGUAGAAUUCGCAUCAGGGAACGUAGAUUCAUGGAUGCCUCCAAAGCCAGACAAGUUAGUGCUCCAUCUUUGCCAGCUUGCUUUCUCAACUAUAUUUCUCGUCAUCCCUUCAGCUGCCUUAAAAAUGCUCCUGUUUCCAUUGGUUACAAACACCUCUACCCAGAAGAGAGCUUUGCUCAGCCUACUCCCCCUAAGAAAGCAAAAUGAGCUGUUAAGCAGGUGAAAAUCUGGCCAACACAAUGAAAGCAUCUACCCAUCAUGCCUGAAGCUCUGCUAUUCUGAUGGCACUUCAGUCACUCACACACCACAGCAGAGGGGAUCUAUGUCCCACCAGUUCUGCAAAGGAUACUUGCUACCUCCCAGGGCAUUUGAAGGAGACAGAAGGCAUUUGCAAGACAUGUUGCAUCAUGCUUUAGAAUACCUUUCUCCAAAGCAGGACAUUGAGUUUUCUACCAGCAGUGUUAACUUUUACGCUACUUUGAGGCUUCAGAAAUGUGGACUGGUAUCAGGGGAGGUUUGCCAUGUAACUCCUGGCAAAUUCAAACCACAAUUUAGAAUAAAAUGACAAAAAUCUCA